rnacentral:rRNA from 1 species
GUCGAGCGGGUAGAGAGAAGCUUGCUUCUCUUGAGAGCGGCGGACGGGUGAGUAAUGCCUAGGAAUCUGCCUGGUAGUGGGGGAUAACGUUCGGAAACGGACGCUAAUACCGCAUAACACCUACGGGUCAAAGAGGGGGACCUUCGGGCCUCUCGCGUCAGGAUAUGCCUAGGUGGGAUUAGCUAGUUGGUGAGGUAAUGGCUCACCAAGGCGACGAUCCCUAGCUGGUCUGAGAGGAUGAUCAGCCACACUGGAACUGAGACACGGUCCAGACUCCUACGGGAGGCAGCAGUGGGGAAUAUUGCACAAUGGGCGCAAGCCUGAUGCAGCCAUGCCGCGUGUGUGAAGAAGGCCUUCGGGUUGUAAAGCACUUUCAGUUGUGAGGAAGGUGGUGUUGUGAAUAGCAGCAUCAUUUGACGUUAGCAACAGAAGAAGCACCGGCUAACUCCGUGCCAGCAGCCGCGGUAAU